GAAAUGCGAUAAGUAAUGUGAAUUGCAGAAUUCAGUGAAUCAUCGAAUCUUUGAACGCAUCUUGCGCUCCUUGGUAUUCCUUGGAGCAUGCCUGUUUGAGUAUCAUGAAAUCUUCAAAGUAAAUCUUUUGUUAACUCAAUUGGUUUCUACUUUGGUAUUGGAGGUCUUUGCAGCUUCACACCUGCUCCUCUUUGUUCAUUAGCUGGAUCUCAGCGUUAUGCUUGGUUCCACUCGGCGUGAUAAGUUAUCUAUCGCUGAGGACACUGUAAAAGGUGGCCAAGGUAAAUGCAGAUGAACCGCUUCUAAUAGUCCAUUGACUUGGACAAUACUUUUAUGAUCUGAUCUCAAAUCAGGUAGGACUACCCGCUGAACUUAAGC
rnacentral:misc_RNA from 1 species